GGUGCAUCAGACAACAAUACUUUUGCGAGGACAGGAUCUUCUGCUGUCUAUAUCACUGUUCCUACUGUAAAUACACGAGCUCUGAAAUCAUGCAGUUCAACAAAAAGAUUUUAUCAUCAUCAAGCAUGGUCUCAAGUGCAGACGAUCCAACACUUUCACUGCUGUUACUGUACAUCAACAUUUUUAAAAUGUGUAAAAAUCCAGCCUCUGGACAACCUCCCAUUGGCUGCAGCACCACCUUCAUCUCCAGCAUCAGCAUCCCCACCUUUAUUUCCCCUCGACAUUGAAACAUGUCUGUACUGAUUUUGAGGGUGCCCCUCUACAGCUAGGAGGACUUGAUUGUGGGGUAUUUAUGUUGAUGUCAAGUCCCACAACUACUCACCCAGAAAGUAACAUAUGCAGAUAACAUGAAAUUCACUCCACCUGAGUCAGAUGUCAUGGAGAUCACCCAGACACCAGAAGUAGAUCACACAGGACUCAGCGGUGAUGAGAAACAUUCAGCUGACCUGUGA